GAGAAUUUUUCACAAUGGGGGAAACCCUGAUGGAGCGACGCCGCGUGGGGGAUGAAUGGCUUCGGCCCGUAAACCCCUGUCAUUUGCGAUCAACCGUUGUUAUUUAAAAGAUGACAGCCUGAUAGUAGCGAAAGAGGAAGGGACGGCUAACUCUGUGCCAGCAGCCGCGGUAAUACAGAGGUCCCGAGCGUUGUUCGGAUUCACUGGGCGUAAAGGGUGCGUAGGUGGUGAGGUGUGUCGGAUGUGAAAUCUCGGAGCUCAACUCCGAAACUGCAUUGGAAACUACCUUGCUAGAGGGUUGGAGGGGGGACUGGAAUACUUGGUGUAGCAGUGAAAUGCGUAGAUAUCAAGUGGAACACCAGUGGCGAAGGCGAGUCCCUGGACAACUCCUGACACUGAGGCACGAAAGCUAGGGGAGCAAACA
rnacentral:rRNA from 1 species